CCUACGGGAGGCAGCAGUGAGGAAUAUUGGUCAAUGGGCUUACGCCUGAACCAGCCAAGUCGCGUGAGGGACGACUGCCCUAUGGGUUGUAAACCUCUUUUGUCAAGGGGCAACGCCGGCUACGUGUAGCCGGACUGAGAGUACCGGAAGAAAAAGCAUCGGCUAACUCCGUGCCAGCAGCCGCGGUAAUACGGGGGAUGCGAGCGUUAUCCGGAUUUAUUGGGUUUAAGGGUGGCGUAGGCGGAAUGCCAAGUCAGCGGUAAAAGCGCGGGGCUCAACCUCGCUCCGCCGUUGAAACUGGCGUUCUUGAGUGGGCGAGAAGUAUGCGGAAUGCGUGGUGUAGCGGUGAAAUGCAUAGAUAUCACGCAGAACUCCGAUUGCGAAGGCAGCAUACCGGCGCCCAACUGACGCUGAAGCACGAAAGCGUGGGUAUCGAACAGGAUUAGAUACCCUGGUAGUC
rnacentral:rRNA from 1 species